rnacentral:rRNA from 1 species
CCUACGGGAGGCUGCAGUGAGGAAUCUUGGUCAAUGGACGAGAGUCUGAACCAGCCAAGCAGCGUGAAGGAUGACUGCCCUAUGGGUUGUAAACUCCUUUUAUAUGGGAAUAAAACAGGGUAUGCAUACCCUCUUGUAUGUACCAUAUGAAUAAGGAUCGGCUAACCCCGUGCCAGCAGCCGCGGCAAUACGGAGGAUCCGAGCGUUAUCCGGAUGUAUUGGGUUUAAAGGGAGCGUAGGUGGAUUGUUAAGUCAGUUGUGAAAGUUUGCGGCUCAACCGUAGAAGUGCAGUUGAAACUGGCAGUCUUGAGUGCAGUAGAGGUGGGCGGAAUUCGAGGUGUAGCGGUGAAAUGCUUAGAUAUCACGAAGAACUCCGAUUGCGAAGGCAGCUCACUGGACUGCAACUGACACUGAUGCUCGAAAGUGUGGGUAGCGAACAGGAUUAGAUACCCCGGUAGUC